UAGGGAAUUUUCGUCAAUGGGGGGAACCCUGAACGAGCAAUGCCGCGUGUGUGAAGAAGGUCUUCGGAUCGUAAAGCACUGUUGUAAGUGAAGAAUGCCAUAUAGAGGAAAUGCUAUGUGGGUGACGGUAGCUUACCAGAAAGCCACGGCUAACUACGUGCCAGCAGCCGCGGUAAUACGUAGGUGGCAAGCGUUAUCCGGAAUCAUUGGGCGUAAAGGGUGCGUAGGUGGCACGAUAAGUCUGAAGUAAAAGGCAACAGCUCAACUGUUGUAUGCUUUGGAAACUGUCGAGCUAGAGCGCAGAAGAGGGCGAUGGAAUUCCAUGUGUAGCGGUAAAAAUGCGUAGAUAUAUGGAGGAACACCAGUGGCGAAGGCGGUCGCCUGGUCUGUAACUGACACUGAUGCACGAAAGCGUGGGGAGCAAACAGGAUUAGAUACC
rnacentral:rRNA from 1 species